GUGGUCAUUUGAGGUCAAAUUAAGUCCUUGAAAGCUUAAGGUGGAUUUUGAGGUGAGUGACUGCCAGUGCUUUGCUCAACUUUAAUUUGUACAGGGUUCCCUCCCUCUUUUACCAGUACCUUUUGCUUUUGAUCAUGAUCGCGUUUGUCCACCACCAACAACCGCUGACCAAGUUAAAUAACAGACUUCCUCAGACCCCCUCUUCCCCACUAGAUUUCCCCGUCCCUGCAUCAGAGACUUUCAGAAGCUUUCACAGAGAGAACGAGGGAGAGAGGAGAAAUUUCUCAUGUCAUGGCUAGAAAUAUGCACGAAUCUUGUUUCUUUCGUUAGCUGUAACUUCUCUGUUACAGAAGCAAGAUAAUAGACAUGAAGAAAUGUCUGCGCACGGGAACCAAACUGCAUUCUCCACUCCAGUAAGUAUAGAUCACAUUACAAGUAAAACUAAAGUAAAGAAUCUAUAAAACCAAGAAAACUUCUGGAAUACUCUGCACACCUUGAAAACAAAGAGUCCAAUACAACUGGUUGAACCUCCUUUGUUCCUUUUUUUUUUCUCCUCUUAUGUUGUCAAACUUCUCUAUAGAGGGUAAUUCUGGCGAGGUGCCGCUUUCUACUUACACUAUAAUGACUAGGGAACUAUACUGUAUGUUCUGUACAAUUGGCAUCUUCAAGGCCAAAACUCAUGGGAACAUCGAAUACCAAAACUCGAGUCCCAAAACACACAAAAGAAUUAGACACGAUACUCGAGCACACAGGAAGUCUAUGUGAGUAUUAGAUAGAUUUACUCAGUAAAAAGAAAAAAAAAA